ensembl:snRNA U6 U6 spliceosomal RNA
AUGCUGACUUCAGCAGCACAUAUUCUCAAGCUGGAACAAUACAAAGAAUAGCAUGCCCCUUGUUCAAGGAUGACACACACGCACAUUCAUGAAGUUUUCUAUAUUUUA